CUUUUUAGCAGUAAAUUUUAAAGGUAUGACAGAAAACAUAAAGGACAUUCACACAUGGAAAAUCCCAAGAAGAAGAAGUGUCAUCGUCUUUUGACACCUUCCAAAUCCCUCCCCCCUCUCUCCCUCUCUCUCUCUCAUAUGGUGCUAGCUAAUUCUUUCCUCCAUCUUACAGAAGCACAUGCUUAAUCACAGAGUCACCUUCGUUUGUUUAUUAUUUUUUCUUUCCAUUACA
rnacentral:sRNA from 1 species